ensembl:lncRNA
ACUUGAAUGAAAAUUUCCUGAACAUUGCAAAGGAACAAGAGUUCAAGGUCCUUAGCUUUGCAGAAACUCUGCCAACCUACAAUGGACCGAUGCUCAAAAUAUUGAUAGUUCCAUCGCAGUCAGCAGGUCUGGGUAUCGGGGACCUCAUCCAUGUGGAGGUUUAUCACCUUAACAUCUGCAAGCCAGAAAAAAAGACUAAUUUCUCUAUAAACGUACUUUACAGUUUAUUCGGGAUGCUCUUGGAGGACAGAGAAUUAAGUCAACUCCCACAGUCCAAAACUGGUCUCUUGCCAUUUCAUUUCCUCUUGAGGAGCAUCAGUGCGCUCCAGGCCAGCAGAGCGCAGUAGAGCUCACAGAUCCAACAUCAGUCUGUUAGUAGAGGAAGACCACUGUUAGUUGACGGUGGACACUGUAGGUUCAAAACAAACUGACAAUCGACAGAUACAUAGGCUUUAACUGAAGAACCAAAAGCGUUAACACAUCCCGUCCAAAAUGGUUAAUGUCUUGAAAGGAGUUCUCGUUGAAUGUGACCCAGCUAUGAAGCAAUUUCUUCUAUAUCUGGACGAGACGUCAGCAUUGGGGAAGAAAUUUAUCAUCCAGGAUUUGGACGACACACAUGUUUUCAUCCUAGCUGAAGUUGUGCAGAUUCUCCAGGACCGAGUAGGAGAACUGAUGGACCAGAAUUCAUUCCCCGUCACCCAGAAAUAAAUGUCUGAAUCUGACAGCAGACCUUACAAUCUGUGGGAGCAGAUGGAUGUGGAGAUUCUUUCAGCACAAUUGCACAAACGCAGAUGCAACUAAAAUAUAUAGAUGACUGGCUACCAGGAUGAUGCCUGUUAUUCUUGUUUUAGUUUGACUGUGUUGCAUACAUUUUUAAUCUGACAGAAUGACAUGCUUUAUGUUACAUAUGUUUUAAAGACCGCUUCUAGAAUCUUUGCUGUGUUCUGACAGCUUGGUCAACGAAUUGUGUUUUGCAUGGAAAAUUGCAUUAGCUGCAGAAAGAAACAAUGUUGUUGUUUUUUUGUUUUUAAUUUGUACACAAACUGAAAGCAGAUGGUUGAUGACAGUGUGAUUUUAUAUACAUGCAAAAUAUACAAGCAUCAAAUAAAAAAAACCUUAAAAAACAUAAAUGUUCUCAAAAUUUGCUUAAUUUGUUUCCUGGAUACAUAAUAAUUAGCCUUAAAAAUUAGAAGACUCCAAGCUCCCUUUUCUGUUUAUUCUCUUUCUAGUGAAAAACCAGCUCAAGCCACGAGCACAAGGGUAUGAUGGGGGAUUUAGACAACUGAGAUGUGUCUGUAAUCAGGAUAUUGGUGAAAGAUUUUACCUUGAGGUGUGAGGAGAACAAACCGCAACAUCAAAAUAGUGAAC